rnacentral:tRNA from 1 species
GGCUCCAUAGCUCAGUGGAUUAGAGCGUUCGCCUCCGGAGCGAAAGGUCGCGGGUUCGAACCCCGCUGGAGUCA